rnacentral:rRNA from 1 species
AGAGUUUGAUCAUGGCUCAGGAUGAACGCUAGCUACAGGCUUAACACAUGCAAGUCGAGGGGAAACGACAUCGAAAGCUUGCUUUUGAUGGGCGUCGACCGGCGCACGGGUGAGUAACGCGUAUCCAACCUGCCCAUCACUUGGGGAUAACCUUGCGAAAGUAAGACUAAUACCCAAUGACGUCUCUAGAAGACAUCUGAAAGAGAUUAAAGAUUUAUCGGUGAUGGAUGGGGAUGCGUCUGAUUAGCUUGUUGGCGGGGUAACGGCCCACCAAGGCGACGAUCAGGUAGGGGUUCUGAGAGGAAGGUCCCCCANAUUGGAACUGAGACACGGUCCAAACGUCCUACGGGAGGCA